rnacentral:rRNA from 1 species
AUUGAACGCUGGCGGCAGGCCUAACACAUGCAAGUCGAGCGAGCGGCGGACGGGUGGGUAAUGUAUGGGGAUCUGCCCGAUAGAGGGGGAUAAAUACUGGAAACGGUGGCUAAUACCGCAUACUAACGGGUGCAGCCAUAUUGGAGUAGCUAGUAGGGGGGGUAAAGGGCCACCUAGGCGAAGAUCGCUAGCUGGUCUGAGAGGAUGAUCAGCCACACUGGGACUGAGACACGGCCCAGACUCCUACGGGAGGCAGCAGUGGGGAAUAUUGCACAAUGGGCGCAAGCCUGAUGCAGCCAUGCCGCGUGAAUGAAGAAGGCCUUCGGGUUGUAAAGUUCUUUCGGUAGCGAGGCGUUAACUACAGAAGAAGCACCGGCUAACUCCGUGCCAGCCGCCGCGGUAAUAC